rnacentral:rRNA from 1 species
GGUCAAGCGAAUAAGCGCACACGGUGGAUGCCUUGGCGGUCAGAGGCGAUGAAGGACGUGGCAGCCUGCGAAAAGUAUCGGGGAGCUGGCAACAAGCUUUGAUCCGGUAAUGUCCGAAUGGGGAAACCCACCCGCUUGCGGGUAUCCUGCAGUGAAUACAUAGCUGCUGGAAGCGAACCUGGUGAACUGAAAUAUCUAAGUAACCAGAGGAAAAGAAAUCAACCGAGAUUCCGUAAGUAGCGACGAGCGAACGCGGACUAGCCCUUAAGCUGAUUUGGUUCUAGGAAAAUGCUCUGGAAAGAGCAGCCAUAGAAGGUGAUAGCCCUGUAUCUGAAAGGGCCAUUUCAGUGAAGACGAGUAGGGCGGGGCACGUGAAACCCUGUCUGAACAUGGGGGGACCAUCCUCCAAGGCUAAAUACUACUGACCGACCGAUAGUGAACCAGUACCGUGAGGGAAAGGCGAAAAGAACCCCGGAGAGGGGAGUGAAAUAGAACCUGAAACCGUGUGCGUACAAGCAGUAGGAGCUCCGCAAGGAGUGACUGCGUACCUUUUGUAUAAUGGGUCAGCGACUUACUGUUCGUGGCAAGCUUAACCGUAUAGGGGAGGCGAAGGGAAACCGAGUCUGAUAAGGGCGCAUAGUCGCGGGCAGUAGACCCGAAACCGGGUGAUCUAGUCAUGCCCAGGGUGAAGGUGCGGUAACACGCACUGGAGGCCCGAACCCACUCCCGUUGCAAAGGUAGGGGAUGAGGUGUGAUUAGGAGUGAAAAGCUAAUCGAACCCGGAGAUAGCUGGUUCUCCUCGAAAGCUAUUUAGGUAGCGCCUCAUAUGUAUCCUCUCGGGGGUAGAGCACUGUUAUGGCUAGGGGGUCAUCGCGACUUACCAAACCAUUGCAAACUCCGAAUACCGAGACGGACUGUAUGGGAGACACACGGCGGGUGCUAACGUCCGUCGUGAAAAGGGAAACAACCCAGACCCACAGCUAAGGUCCCAAAUUUUGUGCUAAGUGGAAAACCAUGUGGAAAGGCACAGACAGCCAGGAGGUUGGCUUAGAAGCAGCCACCCUUUAAAGAAAGCGUAAUAGCUCACUGGUCGAGUCGGUCUGCGGGGAAGAUUUAACGGGGCUAAGCACAGAACCGAAGCUUGGGGUGCAUAACUUUGUUAUGCGCGGUAGAGGAGCGUUCCGUAAGCCGUUGAAGGUGGAUUGAGAAGUCUGCUGGAGGUAUCGGAAGUGCGAAUGCUGACAUGAGUAACGAUAAUGCGGGUGAAAAACCCGCACGCCGAAAGCCCAAGGUUUCCUUGCGCAACGUUAAUCGGCGCAGGGUGAGUCGGCCCCUAAGGCGAGGACGAAAGUCGUAGUCGAUGGGAAGCAGGUUAAUAUUCCUGCACCUCGCGUAAGUGCGAUGGAGGGACGGAGAAGGUUAGGUGUACCAGGCGUUGGUUGUCCUGGGGAAAGGCGGUAGGUUUGGAUCUUUGGCAAAUCCGGGAUCCUUUAAGACCGAGCACCGAGACGAGCCUUUAUGGCGAAGUCACUGAUACCACGCUUCCAGGAAAAGCUCCUAAGCUUCAGCUUACGCAGACCGUACCGUAAACCGACACAGGUGGGUAGGAUGAGAAUUCUCAGGCGCUUGAGAGAACUCGGGUGAAGGAACUAGGCAACAUGGCACCGUAACUUCGGGAGAAGGUGCACCCUUUUUGGUGGCUCGUGCGAGCUAUAGCUGAAGAGGGUCGCAGUAACCAGGCCGCUGCGACUGUUUAUCAAAAACACAGCACUCUGCAAACACGAAAGUGGACGUAUAGGGUGUGACGCCUGCCCGGUGCUGGAAGGUUAAUUGAUGGGGUCAGCCGCAAGGCGAAGCUCUUGAUCGAAGCCCCAGUAAACGGCGGCCGUAACUAUAACGGUCCUAAGGUAGCGAAAUUCCUUGUCGGGUAAGUUCCGACCUGCACGAAUGGCGUAACGACAGCGGCGCUGUCUCCACCCGAGACUCAGUGAAAUUGAAAUCGCUGUGAAGAUGCAGCGUUCCCGUGGCAAGACGGAAAGACCCCGUGAACCUUUACUAUAGCUUUACACUGAACGUUGAGUUCGUCUGUGUAGGAUAGGUGGGAGGCUAUGAAACUGUGGCGCUAGCUGCAGCGGAGCCAUCCUUGAAAUACCACCCUGUCGUGCUUGACGUUCUAACCUGGGCCCAUUAUCUGGGUCGGGGACCGUGUAUGGUGGGUAGUUUGACUGGGGCGGUCUCCUCCUAAAGAGUAACGGAGGAGCUCGAAGGUACGCUCAGCGCGGUCGGACAUCGCGCACUGUGUGCAAAGGCAUAAGCGUGCUUGACUGCAAGAUCGACGGAUCAAGCAGGUAGGAAACUAGGACUUAGUGAUCCGGUGGUUCUGUAUGGAAGGGCCAUCGCUCAACGGAUAAAAGGUACUCCGGGGAUAACAGGCUGAUACCGCCCAAGAGUUCAUAUCGACGGCGGUGUUUGGCACCUCGAUGUCGGCUCAUCACAUCCUGGGGCUGUAGUCGGUCCCAAGGGUAUGGCUGUUCGCCAUUUAAAGUGGUACGCGAGCUGGGUUCAGAACGUCGUGAGACAGUUCGGUCCCUAUCUGCCAUGGGCGUUGGAGAUUUGAGAGGGGCUGCUCCUAGUACGAGAGGACCGGAGUGGACGAACCUCUGGUGUUCCGGUUGUCACGCCAGUGGCAUUGCCGGGUAGCUAUGUUCGGAAGCGAUAACCGCUGAAAGCAUCUAAGCGGGAAGCGCGCCUCAAGAUGAGAUCUCCCGGGGCACAAGCCCCCUGAAGGAACCAUGUAGACUACGUGGUUGAUAGGUCAGGUGUGUAAGUACAGCAAUGUAUUGAGCUAACUGAUACUAAUGAUCCGAGAGGCUUGACCAU